rnacentral:lncRNA from 1 species
CAAAUGACAUCAAAAUUUUACAAAUCUCGCAUCAAUGGAAAGCAUACGACAUGCAGUUCAUUCUUCAUGAAAGCCUUAAGAUUGUACAAAGUUGAUUUCAUGUUCAAAUCUACCUAAGUUCAUCUCGGACCAAAACAGGGCAGACUGACCAAUGCUUAGAUCUAAGCAGUUUUGACCUAGCUAAACAUGUCCAAAAAUUUCGGAAAAAUUAUAAGACAUUCUCAAUACAAUGAUAAAAUACUUUGAUGAAGACAAGUUUGU